UGUUGUAGCAUAUGGGAAGUAGUUUAUUUAAGCCACGCAACUGAAAACUUUACAACAUAAUCCAAAACUUAUACAAAAGGAGUAGCAACAAAAAAAAAAAAAACAAAAAGAG